GCUGGCGGCAGGCUUAACACAUGCAAGUCGAGCGGUAGCACAGGGGAGCUUGCUCCCUGGGUGACGAGCGGCGGACGGGUGAGUAAUGUCUGGGAAACUGCCUGAUGGAGGGGGAUAACUACUGGAAACGGUAGCUAAUACCGCAUAACGUCGCAAGACCAAAGAGGGGGACCUUCGGGCCUCUUGCCAUCAGAUGUGCCCAGAUGGGAUUAGCUAGUAGGUGGGGUAAUGGCUCACCUAGGCGACGAUCCCUAGCUGGUCUGAGAGGAUGACCAGCCACACUGGAACUGAGACACGGUCCAGACUCCUACGGGAGGCAGCAGUGGGGAAUAUUGCACAAUGGGCGCAAGCCUGAUGCAGCCAUGCCGCGUGUGUGAAGAAGGCCUUCGGGUUGUAAAGCACUUUCAGCGAGGAGGAAGGUGGUGAGCUUAAUACGCUCAUCA
rnacentral:rRNA from 1 species